UCUAACUGAUACUCCAAGGAGUGGAAUGAACGGGUAACGCCCUGAAACGCUCCCCCUGAUACUGCUUUUGGAGGAAACGGGGGCGCAAUCCCCUGCAACUGACACAGCACGCUGAAGGCGGCUGGACUAACCCGCCUUUACUCGAUGUAAAGACGGUAGGGCCAACACGACCCGAAGUGGCCGUGGGCGAUAGGCCGGGGGUUCUAACC
rfam:Mouse gut metagenome OB2_T_BM-aaa33a05.b1, whole genome shotgun sequence.